ACCAAAGGAGUACUUGGGACUCCACACACUUAGCAAGUCAAGAACCUGGACCACAGUAGUAACAGCUCAUGAUUUAGUGAAGUAGUUACCAUGGUGAUGGAUUUGAUAGUGCUUUCACACAUCCGUCACUGCAUUUCAUUCUAUUUCAUCCCGUCCCCCAUACACUCUCCUUUUUGCCCCCUUUAUUUAGUUUGACCUAAAACUGGCCAAGCUUUUAAUUUCCAAGGGAAAAACCCAGCAGCUAUUUGUAUUAUUUACUUUGAGAUCGGGUCAUGCUUACGUACCUGGGGGCUGGAAUUACAGAUGGUUGUGAACCUCCAUGUGGGUGCUGGAAACUGAACCCAGGUCCUUUCUAAGAGCAGUGAGUGCUCCUAACCACUAAGCCAUGUCUCAAGCCCCAACACUGUCUUUAAAAAAAAUUCUUUUAUGUGUAUGUGUGUGCUGUAGUGCAUGUCUGUGUAUCACAUGUAUAUAGUACUUGCAGAGACCGGAAAAGGGCACAGGAUCCCUUAGAACCAGAGUUACAGUCAUGAGCCUCCACAUGAAUGUUGGGAAUCAAACCCAGAUCCUCUGCAAGAGCAGUCAGUGUUCCUGAUCACCGAGCUCUCUCUUUAGUCCUGAUGUUUUUGUUUUUUUGUUUUUUAACAGAAAUGCCAGCUAACAAAUGUAAAAGGAAUGAUAAACAUUAUCCAACAAAAUGUAGUUGUAUUAAUCCUAGCUUUUUAGGUUUGCUUGUUUAGGUUUUUUUGUUUUUUUCCUGGCCUGGAACUCACGGCAAUACUCCUGCACUAGCCUCCCAAGUGCUGGGAUUCUAGGUGUUGUGCCACUAACUAGUUUCUGUAGCUGGAACACUCCAGGCCCUAGAGAGAUUGCUCUUCUCCUACAGACAGUAAAAGUCCGGGCUUCCUAGUGCUCCUAACCUAGACCCAUAUUCCCCAUCUGCUGCCUUUGGUUUCGUUUUUCUGACACAGGGUCUCGCAUCUAACUUGGGCUGUCCUUGAACUCAUGAUCUUCCUGCCUCUCACCUUCUGGAGUGCUAGUAGAACAGUCCUACAUCUUCAUGCCUAGCCCUUUUAUCAAGUAUGUUGUACUCCAGGCCCCAUUCUGCCCUAAUCACAGCUAGAUACAUGCCCUGCUCUUCAGAUCUUGCAUGGCCUGUCUCUUAUUUCCAUGGAAAUGGCAAGAUUAUUGCCAUGGUUUCCUCUUACUCCCUGGUCAACCCUAGCACGGUCCCAGUGUGGUUCUGUGUGGCAUGCAUGGCAUGCCCCCUCCCCUGGGGAACUGAGUGACAAAUUUCUUUAUGGUAAAGUUAUUUCCUGAUCUUCUGGCUCACCAUACCUGAAUUAUAGUAAAACUUCCAUCUUGAAACUUUAGGACUAGUCCUUCGCCUUUAAGCCACUAAGCAGCAAGGCAAUGUAGGGAUGAGGUCCCUCUAGGACAAAGCAAUGUAGGGAUGAGAUCCUUCUAGGACAAGGCGAUGGAGGGAUGAGGUCCCUCUAGGACAAGGCGAUGGAGGGAUGAGGUCCCUCUAGGACAAGGCGAUGGAGGGAUGAGGUCCCUCUAGGACAAAGCAAUGUAGGGAUGAGGUCCUUCUAGGACAAAGCAAUGUAGGGAUGAGGUCCUUCUAGGACAAGGCGAUGUAGGGAUGAGGUCCCUCUAGUACAAGGUGAUGUAUAUAGAUCUCUGUCCCAACUGCAUGGGAGGUAUCCCUUUGGAUUAGCUUGAAUCCAUGAAGUCUUUAGAUCCUACUUCUGGCCAAAAAGGGGGAUGUGUUAAAUUACAACAAAGUUAAGGACUCAACACCCAUGUGUGUGAUCCCAGACUGGAUAGUCAGCUGGCUAAGUGGGGUGCACAGAACAUUCUGGAUGAACUGAGGAAAUGUGAAUGUGGUUGAGACAGUGCCAGAACAGAGGCUGGCAGAUAGCUCAGUGGGUAGAGUUGCUUGUUAUGCAAACCUGAUGAUGACCCGAGUUCAAUCCCUGGAUCCCAUGUGGGAGGGGGAGAAUCUGCCCCCAAAUCUGUGCUCUGAUCUCCACGAGUGCUUUGGCACAUGGGGGUACAGGCAGAGACCCUUAUCAAAAACCGAAAAAGGGGGGGCUAGAGAGAUGGCUCAGCAGUUAAGAGCACUGGCUGCUCUUGCAGACGACUUGGGUUCAGUUCCAAGCACCCACAUUGUGGUUCACAGUCCGCCUGUAACUCAUUUCAGGGAACCUGACACUUUCUUCUCAUCUCCACCAGCACCAGGCAUGGACAUGGUGCAUAUAUACACAUACAUGCACACAAAACAUUCAGACACAUAAAAAAAAAACACAACAAAAUAAAGAUAAGCAUUAAAACAGGUUAUAAGUCAAGCAUGGCGGCACAUGCCUUUAAUCCCAGUGCUCAGAAGGCAGAGGAAGAUCUCUGAGGCAGCCUGGUCUACAUAGUAAGUUCCAGGCCAGCCAGGGCUACAUAGUGAGACUCUGUCUCAAAAACAAAACAACCAACCAACCAACGAACAACAACCCAAAAAUAGGCUAUGAAUCCAGGAAACUCCUUUUUAAAAUUUAUUUUUAUUUUAUGUGCAUUGGUGUGAGGGUGUCAGAUCUUGGCGUUACAGACAGUUGUGAACUGCCAUGUAGGUGCUAGGAAUUGAGCCCAGGUCCUCUGGAAGAGCAGCCAGUGCUCUUAACCACUGAGCCAUCUCUCCAGCCCCUCAGGAUGCUCUUAACUUCUCCCUUUAAAAUACAAAGACAGGGAAUUGAACUCAUGUCAUCUCUGGAGAGAAGUGGCAGUGGUUAAGAGCACUUGCACUUGCAGAGAACUGGGUUUGACUCCCAACACUCACAAGGCUGCUCGAAGCCAUCUAAACCUGCAGUUGCAGGAGGGGCUGCUCCUCUCUUCUGAUGCCUGCAGGCACCAGGCAUGCACAUACAUGCAGGCAAAACACUCUAACAAUGCAAAUUUUUAAAAAUCUAAGUUUUUUUUUUUCAAAUACAAAACAGAGAAGUGCAUUUGCGGGUGGGUGAAGUAGGGAGAUAGGGGAAGGAAAUAGGAGGAAGAGGGAGGGGAAACUUCCAUCAGGAUGUAAAAUAAAUGAAUAAAUUCAAUUAAUAAUAAUAAAAUAAUAAUGCCAGGCAUGAUGAUGCAUGCCUGUAAUCCUAGCACUUUAGAGGCUGAUGGGAAGAUUUCCACAAGUUCAAAGCCAGAGUGAUCUACAUAGUGAGACUCUACCUUCCCCUCAUGUAACUCCACUCCAAGACUAGAGCCAGCAAGAUGGUUCAGUGGGCAAGGAUACUUGCCACAAAAUCCUAAUGACAUGAGUUCAAUCCCCGGAAUCCACAUGGAAAUGGGAAGAGAGCGCUGACUCCGUAAAGUUGUCCUCUGACCUCCACAUAAGCUGUCACGUGUGCAUACCCAUAUAUACACAUCAUGUAUACAUACAGUAAUGGAUAAUUAAAAGCUAAACAUACAAAAAUCAAAAAGUUCCACAAACUCAAAGAGAAGAAAAAUGGCCAGGACUCUCUGGCCCUGCCUGGCUGCAGUUGUUUGCUUGUGGAAUCCUGCAUCCUCCCAUUGCUUCAUGGGUGCCAGGCCACAGGAAGGGUAUAGUUGAGCAUAUCUUAGUCACUGGCCUGCCAUAACUUUGUGUGUGUGCAUACAUGCAUGCAAGCAUGUGCAUGUGUGUUCACUGGGGAUCCAACCAGAAGCUUUGGGUUCAUACACACUGGAGAAACCUCUACACACUUCUAUGUGGAAAUGCUAUUUUUUUUUUAAUGGUGAAAAAAAAGUAUGUAUUUAGAAUUAGCCAGCUGGACUCAGUUUAGAUGAUGCCAGUUUUGCUGGCAACAUCCAGAGCAUCAUAAUCAUGACUCAAUUGAACAUACACCUUCUCCUCUUCAUCAGGCCUUAUUAGGGUGUUGACUUUAGCCACAUCAAUGUCAGUCUCUUCACAGCCUGUGUGAUUGGUGCUUGUUGGCCUUGACAUCCAUAAUGAAUGAGUAUGUUGUUGUCUUCUAUCUUCUUCAUGGCUGACUCAGUGGUCAGGGGCAAUUGGAUGAUGGCAUAGUGGUCAAGCUUGUUUUUCCUCGGUGUGUUUUUCAAGAUUUGGGCUGCCUCCAGAGCUACAGGGUCUUGGGCCACCAGAAGGUGGGUGACGUGCAGAUCUUUUUGAGACUGUGGACACUUCUCAGCACUGCCUUCUUGCCUUUCAAGGCCUUCGCUUUGACUUUGGCUUUAGGAGGGGCAGGAGCUUCCUUUGAUUUCAGUGCCCUCUUGGCUUAGAAAUGUUAUUUUUUUAUUUUUUAUUUUUUUUGGUUUUUUCGGGACAGGGUUUCCUCGAACUCACAGAGAUCCACCUGCCUCUGCCUCCUGAGUGCUGGGAUUACAGGCGUGCACCACCACCGCCUGGCGGAAAUGUUAUUUUUUCUUAUUUUUAUUAUUUUUUUUUUUUUGGUUUUUCGAGACAGGGUUUCUCUGUGUCGCUUUGUGCCUUUCCUGGAACUCCCUUGGUAGCCCAGGCUGGCCUUGAACUCACAGAGAUCCACCUGCCUCUGCCUCCUGAGUGCUGGGAUUAAAGGCGUGCACCACCACUGCCCGGCGGAAAUGUUAUUUUUAACCUCUGGUUUGUGAUGAUUUUUCUCUUCUUGAUAGAGAAAUGAGGGACAAAAAGGGCAUUCUUGUUCCUAAAAACCAAGUAUUCCAGAUACAGGACUCUCUUACUCUGAUUUUGAGGUUCUCAAUUUUUCAGUGUGACUCUUCCCAUCUUUACAGGAUAGGCUUCAGAACCAACAUGACUUGCUUACCCUCAGUGUAACAUCUAGUGACAUCUAGCACCCACUUCUGACAAGCCUUACACAGACCAUCCAGCCCUGGGCAAAGGCAGAUCUGCCUGUCUUUAGCUGUGCAUUACAUGAAACUCCAGAGCCCAGGGAACAGUUGGAAGAAGCACAAUAAACCCCCAACAAGCAAGCCCAGCAAUGCUUGCUGUGUGGGCACGGAACACUUAGCCCAUAAACGUUCCAGAAGAUGGCUCCAGAGCAUAAGGACGGAAAUACCCACUCUAUAAAACAAGCAGAGUGUGGUGCUCAGGGACAAGUCCUUACUUAGGAAAAACAGGUGACUCCAAAGCUGGGCAUGACGCCUCGUGUUAUUAAUCCCAGCAUUCUGAAGGCUGAAGCAGGAGGAUCUUAAGUUCAAGGACAAUCUGGGAUACACAUGAGAAAAAGAAAAAAAAAUAAAUAAGGGGGCUAGAAUGGCUCCAAGUUAAAGCACUUGCUGCUCUACCAGAGAACCCGAGUUCGGUUUCCAGUACCCACACUGGGUGGCUCACAACCACCUUUAACGCCAGUUCCAGGGAAUCCAAUACCUUCCACAGGUGUACACACACACACACACACACACACACACACACACGCACCUUUGCUCACAACUACCUUUAACUCCAGCUCCAGAGUAUCUAACACCCUCCAAAGGUGUACACACACAGACACACAAACUCCUUUGCACCUUCCCUCUAGGUUUGUUCUUGAAGUUGACUGGCCUGAAUUCCCAGUCCAGGAAGUCCUGUUCAUACAGGACACCUUUCUCUGGAGUCACCCACAGGGAGAUGAGGCUCCAAGCCCUGUGUUUCAACUCUAAACACUAAGGACAGUCAGGGCUCGUGGGGGAGGGGCAGCGCUAUGGGCACUGUCAGCCAAGAGGCUUAUGCUUGUCAUCUUAAGGGCACUCGCUGGAGGAAAACAGGCACUGUACUAAACAUCAAUUGCAAAUGAAACGGCAUGUCCUCAUUGCCAGAGCUUUAUGAAACAAACACAGGGAAGUCUGAAGUAGCUGCCAUUUCUGAAGAGUGUCAGGAACAGGAGCUUUUAAAAGCCAUCGCCUGGGGCAGGAGGGAUGACUCAGUGGUUCAGAGCAUUGGCUGCUCUUCAGAGGACCCAGGUUGCAUUGCCAGUGCACACAGGCCACACAGAGGUUCACAGCUGUAUUUAACUCCAGUUCCAGUGAUCUGACACCCUUUUCUGGCCUCCAAAGGUACCAGGCAUUUAAGUGGUGUACAGACAUGCAUGCAGGCAAAACACUCAAACACAUAAAACACUGAAAAAAAUCUAAGCUAUCACUCCAACUCCUACAUUAGUUAAUUCUAUAGAACAGAGGGCUGCCUAAUACUUAAUUGUAAACAUAAUUAUAGUUCACAAUUUUUUUUUUUUUUUAGUUCACAACUCUCAAGGUAGUAAGACUUUACAAACAAAAAACUAAGGUCCACAUUCCAGCCUUUAUUUGGAUCUCUUAUGUAACAUUCCCAGUAAGUUAUUUCCAAGGUUGGGAAAUCAAUAACUCACUUUUUAUCUCAUCCUGCAGCCUAGACUAGUUUUGAACUCUGGAUUCUGGAUUCUCCAGCCUCAGCCUUCCAAAUACUAGGCUUACAGGCAUGUGCCUCUACAGCUUAGGCGUGGGAGGGCUGAUGGAAUGACACUGACGUUCCCUCUACUUCUCUCCAUUGCUUCAAGUUCCAUGCAAAUUUCUCUGAUAAGCAUAAGGAUGCUUACUUCCCAAGGGCACUGGAAUCCCUUCACCACUCUGGGAUCCAAUGUUACUGGGGCUCCAGAUGUGUGCAGUGGGAGAUGGGUAGCUCCAGAGGUGGCCCUCAGUUCUGUAGUCCACUGUUGAGUCCCUGUAUCCAUGAGAAAGCUGCUCAGUCGCCCUGUGAUUUCCUUUUCUCCAUUUGUAUAAGGCAACAUCACUACCUGACCAUUUUGUGGUGGGGUGAAGAAACCUGUGGAAUGUGUAGACAAGUCCCUUGAAAAAAUGCUCAGUAUAGGGUUAGGCAGGGCUCUCAGACUUACUCUUCUCCUCCUACCCUGGAGGUUGAUACAUACCUGGGUGCUUCCUUAGGCUCUGUAAUGCUCACUGAACCCCAAUGACAAUGGGGUCUCCGGAAUAGUGAAACCACUACUAAAGAACUGUGUCCUUCCACCACCCCAUGGAUGGAGUCCAGGAUCUGUGAACUUGGCAUUUGUGCAAAUUUGUGCUGAAUGUUACUAGUAUGUCUAUUUUCCCGGCUGACUGUUUGGCACUGGCGUCAGUGUGCUCUUCCCUGGAAGACCACCUCUCCCACUCCCAGCUUUACCCGGCUGACUAUAGCUGUGUAGGACUGAGGCCUCGUGAGCUGUCGUCGUCCUCCCCCACCCCGCCCCCGUUACUUGGUGUGUAUGUUGGUGUCCCCCUUGGGUCCUCACAUCUGGGUGGUCAUGUUGGUGAGACUUCAUGUAUAGCUUCUGAUGUGACGAGGAACAGUCUCACAGCAAGCCCCUCUGCUUCUUACCAUCUUUCUGUCCCUCUUCAUCAACGUUCCCUGAGCUUUAGGUGUGGAAAAUGUUCUGUACAGGUAUCCACUGGGACUGGGUCCACAACUCUGCAUUUUGAUUGACUGGUUUUCUGCAGUGGUCUCUACUUAAGAAGAAAGUGUCCACUUUUCUUUGGAUUGAUCUGCUACUUAUAGAUCUUAAUUUGAAAGACAACCAGUGCCUUUGUUGGUGUUAUGAGCUGGUGACUAUACAUCAUAAAUCUAUAAAGGAUCACAAAAUUGUCCACUUUAAAAUACUAUGUGAGAUCAGAGCAGCAGUCUGCUGAAGCAAGGGAGUCAACAGACCAGUGUGACCUCUCACUGGCACACAUACUCAGGCACUUCUACAGAAACUCAAGUUUGAGGAUCCUUCACUUCAUUUGAGAUUUAAGUUGAUGGAUGAAAAUUGGGAUCCACUGUCAAUAUUACUGAAAUAGGAUACAGACGACAUCAUAGCUGACUCAUCUUGCAUGCCUCCCCCCAUAUGGACCUAGAAUGGCAGGCAGUCUUCACACAAAUGCGCCCAUCUGAGGUCAGAAAGCUGGUCAGAACUCAGCUGUGAAACUUCCUCCCAUUUUUAUAAUAAAAUAAAAUAUAAUUCAGAUGACUAAAUCUGAGAACUAAGAACUCCUCUUAUUCCUACUUAGGACACCUUGUAGAAACGAAAAUGGUGGUUAAAUAAAGUAGAAGUACAAUCUGGCAGGUCAUCGCUCCUCCCCUCUUAAUAUAGUCCACACAGGCUUCAAACCGUGAGUCUGACAGAACCCAGGUGGGCAGACACACAAAGACACGUGGGUGUUCUGUAUGCCUGGAAUCACGGCAAUCUUGUUUCCCAGCCAAACUAUCCUUGGGAACUGGGCUGCCCUGCCCUCUCCUCCAUACAUUUACUGCAGUGUCCACAAAAUGCCCAGUUCCCCAGUGUCCAGGAUAUAUGAUAUAAAGCAGUGUAUAAGGGUCAGAAAUGGUGGCGUUCCUCUUUAACCCCAGCACUACACAGGUAGGAGGAUCUCUGGGAGUUCCAGGCCAGUCAAGGCUACACAGUGAGACCCUAUGGGGGGUGGGGGGAGCAGUGCACCCAGAGUGUACUUAAGGAAUCAAGCCUUUAACCUGAUUUAUAAUAUCGUACUGGGCAAUGACCUAGUGAAUAUAAAGCUGUUAACUAAAAUAUCAUGUUACAUACAAGUAACAUGAAACAGACUGAACAGGUUAGAGGAGGAAGUCGGCCUGUUCCUCCUUGAGACUGCAUAAGAGAAACAGCCGAGAACAAGAAGACACCAUGUGAAGACCAGACUAGAAACCCAGUGAUGCGAGGACUCCACCUGCAGGCAGAGAAAGGUGCAGACCUGCAGGGGUGCAGACCACACCAGUGCUCAGUCAGCACUGGCAGUUAAAGAGGACCAGAUACUGGGGAGGGGCAUGAACUAAGUCAAGAGCAGUUCUGCUGCAAGUUCAAAAGCAGGGUGACUGAAGUGACUGAUGUUCACCUGACGCUCCCUCUCCCUUACAAGGACAGCUGACGUCUGGCACAGUUUCUGCACCCCCAACUUACCUCUUCAGUGGACGCAGGGUAUCAGUCCACAGCAAUGCCCAGGUGGGGUGGAGGGUGGGAGGGAUCUGCAGACACAUCCUGUACUCAGACUUGCACAGACACAGAGCUGGAGUGCAGUGUUUAUGGGAGUGAUGAUUGACGGGGAUGGGUGACAUGCUGAGAAUGACCAACACCAGGAAAACCGUUACCGGAAAUACUAAAUACCCGCUGGGCAAGGCUGUGCAGCCUUGUUACCCCACCCACUAGGAGGCAAGAGGAUCUACACACAAAGCAAGACCGAAUCUCCUAAAUGAGCAGGUAUCAAAAAAUCAGUUCCUUUCCUCCUUACUUAAGGACAUAAAAGAAGAAAACAAACAACCAAAUACAAAAUGCAACCAAGAUGUAAGGAGUUUGAAAAGUAUAUAACACAUUUUUUUUCUUUAUUGACAAUCAAGUUCUGUUGGGACACAUAAUUAAAUAAAUAAAAGAUGUGCCCUGCCAGCGAAUUUCAACUUCCAUCAACACAAGCUCUCUGGCAGCAAACCAACAGGUGAGCUGCAAGCAGGGAGACGUCAGAAGAAAGACUGCCAUCCCUGUUCCCCAGCUCCAGCACUCCUGUCCCUCCUGUCCAGAGAACUAGUGUGGAGGCAAAAGUAAAGUGCAAAGUAAAUGUGACAAACACACGGGGCUUCAGCCACCCAGCCACAGCUCAGACGUGCGUGCGCACAGGUGAGCGGUAGGGACAGCGCCCCAGCCACCCAGCCACAGCUCAGACGUGCGCACAGGUGAGCGGUAGGGACAGCGCUUUCCAGCCUUCAUCAUAACCAGUCCUAGACAGGCUGCUUGCGCCCAACACUAAGGCCACACGGCAGGAACGGCACAGUGGCGGCACAGGACUCAGCACUCCCGGCUUCAGCAGAAACGCCCAGGUGAGCACUCAGACCCCUGCUGUGUGGCUGCAGUGAUGCAGGAUGACGAAGUUUCUCACCUGCUGCAAAUCUACCUGACAGGAAAAGGUUGGCACAGGUCCUUUCCACUCUCCCUCUCUCACACAUACACACAAAGCUAUGUGGAAAUGUUGGCAGGAAGGGAGCCAGGAGUUGUGAAGGCCAGCCAAAGAACGCAAGAGGUUUUAGCAAUGAGACCAGACCACACCUCCAGCCCUGAAAACAGCUCCACCCAUCCUUUGUCACAUGAGGACAGGCCUUGCAUUUGGUUUCCACUGACCCAAUGCCUACAAGUGAGUCCCCUGGGUAAGUGACCCCAGAAGGGGGUGUGCAUCAGGCCACAGUCGACUUUGGAAAGAUAGGAAAAGCACAGAGGACCCAAUACCCAGUG